GCAAAAGAAGGGCGUAUGGGGGAUGCCUGGGCUCUCAGAGGCGAAGAAGGACGUGAUAAGCUGCGAAAAGCCACGGGGAACUGCACACGAGUGUUGAUCCGUGGAUAUCCGAAUGGGGCAACCCGGCUGGUUGAAGGCCAGUCACACCGCAAGGUGGGCAAACCCGCUGAACUGAAACAUCUAAGUAGGCGGAGGAAGAGAAAACAAAAGUGAUUCCGAUAGUAGUGGCGAGCGAAAUCGGAUUAGUCCAAACCGUUGUCGUUUCGGCGACAGCGGGGUUGUAGGACCGUGACAUUCUGAAUGUAAUGAACUGGAACAAGUUGGAAAUCUUGACCAUAGAGGGUGAUAGUCCCGUAUAGGUAAAGAACAUUCGGAUAACGGUAUCCUGAGUAGUGCGGGGCACGUGAAACCCUGUAUGAAUCCGGCGGGACCAUCCGCCAAGACUAAAUACUCCUGAGAGACCGAUAGUGAACCAGUACCGUGAGGGAAAGGCGAAAAGAACCCCGGAGAGGGGAGUGAAAUAGAUCCUGAAACCGUGUGCGUACAAGCAGUGGGAGCAGACUUGUUCUGUGACUGCGUACCUUUUGUAUAAUGGGUCAGCGACUUAUUGUCUGUAGCAAGCUUAACCGUAUAGGGGAGGCGUAGGGAAACCGAGUCUUAAUAGGGCGUUUAGUUGCAGGCAAUAGACCCGAAACCGGGCGAUCUAUCCAUGGCCAGGCUGAAGGUUGGGUAACACUAACUGGAGGGCCGAACCCACGUAUGUUGAAAAAUGCGGGGAUGAACUGUGGAUCGGAGUGAAAGGCUAAUCAAGCCAGGAGAUAGCUGGUUCUCCUCGAAAGCUAUUUAGGUAGCGCCUCAUGUAUCACUCUUGGGGGUAGAGCACUGUUUGGGCUAGGGGGUCAUCCCGACUUACCAACCCCAUGCAAACUCCGAAUACCGAGAAGUGCAAUCAUGGGAGACACACGGUGGGUGAUAACGUCCAUCGUGGAAAGGGAAACAACCCAGACCAUCAGCUAAGGUCCCAAAAUUAUGGCUCAGUGGAAAACGAGGUGGGAAGGCUCAGACAGCUAGGAGGUUGGCUUAGAAGCAGCCACCCUUUAAAGAAAGCGUAAUAGCUCACUAGUCGAGU
rnacentral:rRNA from 1 species